rnacentral:lncRNA from 1 species
GUUGAUGAAAUUAAUAAUUUUAAACGUUAGGUUUAUCAAAGGAGAUGGUUCACUCGGGAGACACAACCCUAAUGAGAAUUGAACUCAAUUACAUAAGAAAUUCAUAUCAUUCUCAACCUAAAACCUUAAAGCAAUGGGUUAAUGGGUCUUCAUCCAUAUAUGUUGUUCAAUUUUUUCAUUUUUAUCCAAUGUGAGACUUAGACUCACACUUGGAUUCUCAACACUUCUUUCCUUCAAGGGUGAGUUCCUUCCAC